UGCGUAGGCGGUGCUCUAAGUCGGAUGUGAAAACUCUGGGCUCAACCCAGAGCCUGCAUCCGAAACUGGAGUGCUAGAGUUCUGGAGGGGGUAGCGGAAUUCCUGGUGUAGCGGUGAAAUGCGUAGAUAUCAGGAGGAACACCGGUGGCGAAGGCGGCUACCUGGACAGAAACUGACGCUGAGGCACGAAAAGGCUAGGGGAAGGCAAAACA
rnacentral:rRNA from 1 species